AUUGAACGCUGGCGGCAGGCCUAACACAUGCAAGUCGAACGGAGCGGCGGACGGGUGGGUAAUGCCUGGGAAUCUACCUGGUAGUGGGGGAUAACGACCGGAAACGGGCGCUAAUACAGCAUACUAUCAGAUGAGACUAGGUGGGAUUAGCUAGUUGGUGGGGUAAAGGCCUACCAAGGCGACGAUCCGUACCUGGUCUGAGAGGAUGAGCAGUCACACUGGAACUGAUACACGGUCCAGACUCCUACGGGAGGCAGCAGUGGGGAAUAUUGGACAAUGGACGAAAGCCUGAUCCAGCCAUGCCGCGUGUGUGAAGAAGGUCUUCGGAUUGUAAAGCACUUUAAGUUGGGAGGCGUUACCAACAGAAUAAGCACCGGCUAACUUCGUGCCAGCAGCCGCGGUAAUUC
rnacentral:rRNA from 1 species